GUGGUAUUUUGGAACGUUUGUCAUUUGUUUGGGUGUGUUGAAACAAAGGCAUGCGCUGAGGUCUUAUAUCAUUGCAAGUUUCAUGUUUUUCUUUCCAAGAAAAAGGAACUGAGCAGCAGAUGGACUGAUGCGGAAAAAUGUUCUUCUAAGGGAGGGAAAAAAAACUCCACAGCACGGCUUAAAAUAGCUACGGCUGUGCUGUCUAUGAAAAGCUACAAAAAUGAGGGAAAAGCAGGAAGGCACUGAAUCUAAACCCCACUUUUCUAGCAGCCAUUUUUAGUUUGUGAAUAGAACGGAUGGAAUUGUAAUCGACUGGAAUGAUGAUCCUUAGAUCUGUGAAGACCCCUUUCCAGAUUUUUCACAGCUUUAACUGGGUAUUUACUGGGUGUGAGCUGUCAGACGACUGAUGACUUUUUUAACUGAAUGAUGUCAUGUAAAACAGUGAGCCAAACAGGUUCAACCCUGCAGUAUGGCCCUAUGUGCUCCACAACGGAGAAGCCCACCCAGUGGGUUCGCUAACUGUAACAAACAUAUUCACAUUCCUACUUUAAGGAAAACUGGCUAUGUGAUUUGUUUUUUGUUAUUAGUUCAUAAUAAACUUUAAUGACUUAAAAGUAACAACGGUACAGAUAAUGUGGCUUAUCCUGGACUAUGGAAUAACAUCUAUAGUUUUUUGUAAUAGGAGAAUUAUUAGGUCAAUCAUUGAGCUACAAGUCAAUUAUAAUAUUCAAAGAUGCACACCUUAAUAUAUUUAUUUGGUUGUGCCCUGACGAUUGGAACUCGCUUACCAGUUGUAAUUCAAUUACAUUCAAUUGGCAAGCUAGCAAAGGACAAAAUGGGUGGAUGUUUGUACAUUCCAUUUUUAAUACUUGCUAAGAAAAAAGUUUUUCCAGAAUUUUGAAAAAAUGUUCGAAAAAAAAUUUUUUCCCCAAUGUUACAAUUUUCCAACAUUUUGUAAAUUUUUGAAUCUCAAAUGUAGCCAGCAAUUUCACUAAGAAAGCAAGUCUCUUCCUGGAAUUAUUUCCUUUCCAACAAUAAAACUUGCCACCUUGAAAAAGAAGGAUUGUUCAUUUGAGUAAUUACUUUAACAAGUUCAGAAGUAUAACCCAACACAAGGCAUUAAAAUUGUCCUGAUUUGACCUGUUUAUCAGUAGCUGUACUGUAGUUAGGUGUAAGUGUGCUUCAAAGAUAAUGAGCUCUUGGGAAAGCACCAGUAGGGUUCCUCAAAUUUAACCCUCUGUCCUUGAGAUAAACCACUGAUUUAGAUAUAUUGUGUGUGUACAUUCAUAACCUAAAAUGAUAGCGUGACCAAUUAAACAUAUUACUAGAUACUGCAAAACUAGCUCCUGUGGGCCACUGGUAAGUAGAUCAUAGCAAUGACAACAGAAGGCCUGUAAAGAGAGGAAACAAGUAGGCAGAAAAAGCACACAAAUAUUUACUAGCCAGUACGGAGUUAAACAUAGAUAAAGAAAUUUCUAAAAACAAAGACUAACAAAGACAAGUAAACAGAAACUGCAAUGUUGGAGAUCCAAAAAAGUAAAGCAAAUAAAGCUGUCAACAAUACCUUAUUGUAACAACCUGUAUGAUGAUCAUUGUUUAUUUUAUUCAAUAAACCAUAUUUGAUUGGA